CAGAAGAGAACGGCCCCAGGCGCCCCCGCCCCUCGCUGCUGAGCCUGCCGCGACCCCCGCCCGCGCCGCCGCCGAGUCCGCUGAGCGGCGAGGGCCCUCCCCCUCCGCCUUAUCAACCCCGGGCGCCGGAGGGUGGGGGGGAGCCCCUCCGCGGCUGGCCAAUUAGAGCGUACCACGCCAAAUAUACAGCCAAUAGGAAGCCUGGAAGGGAGGGGCCUGCAGCUAUUCCCGCCAAUCGUGGCUUUCCAUGUGAGGUUUCCUGCGGACGGAGCGUGGCCGGCGCCGAUUGGCCGGGCGGAGAGGCGCUUGGCCAAUCGCUUCCGCGGAGGGGAUUACCCGGCAUGGACUCUGCUGAUGAUUUAAGGAAUAACACGUUAACGGUUAACGCUGAGCCCAGGUAGGCCACAGCUCCUGCGGGCUGGUCCUGGAGCGAUAAGGACACUCCGCAUGGGAGGCCAGCUCCGACUGCUUCCGGGGGCACCCUGGAUGUUUACCAUGGAUACGGUUGCUAUGACAACGGGCGCUUCCGGUCGCGGCGCCCCUCCGCACCGCCGGGGCACCCACAGCUGGCUACUGCUGGAGACAAGAUACUGGCCUGAUCUGAGGUGGCCGUUCUUAGGAACUACAUGUGUUUUAUGCAAGCUUGAAUAAUUGCAGUGCCUAGGGGCCUGAAUGCGGUGGGUCUGGAACAUGGUCAGACCCAGAUCCACAGGGAGCCUUGGGCACUAUAACGUCCCGUCAAAUCAGUUCUUCAUCAUUCAUCACAAGAAGUGGAACAAAUGCAAUGAAACAUGUUGCAAGUUACCUAUAUGCUUUCAACCUUUUCUUCCUUUUCCCUGCCAUUUUUAGAUAACCGUUCAGGGUGGUGAGAGAUAUUAGGGUGAAUAACCUAGAGAACAAAUUGAACAGAAGUUUCUCUCAGCUUGGGUUAAUAUUUUAAUCACUGAGUCACUGGAUAGAAAUAUGAUGAAUACCAGUUGGUUUUGAAGGAAGGCAGCAGUCUCCACCUUUUUUUGAAACUUGAUUUACUAACUGUGCUCUGGGCUUCCUUCCUGGACCAAAAUCACUCUGUCAUGAAAGAUGGAGGGAAGUUUGUUUUGUAAAGAUCAGGAACGAGCUAGGUUCAUGACUACUUGACACAAUAAGCAUCUGCACUACCAGAAAAGAGACUUUCAGUUCUUGGGAAACUUCAGAAUGAAAACUGUGAUGCUGACAGAGCUCAGGUGGUUUCAAGGCUAGGUAACUGCUGGAGAAGCAUUUUGAAAACAGUAAUUUUGGACCCAUAUGUCUGAGGAGGGAACCAGAGAUGAGUAACAACUUUUUGUGAAUCUAAAGUUCAGGAAUUUCCAGAAGGUCCAAAGCAUCUCGUAGGAACUUGGUGUGAAAUGCCUAACUUUUCAGACACUACAUUUGCUGGAGACAUACUGAUAUGCAAGUCCUAGGAGUCUGAUGAAAGAUUCACUGCUGUUAGGCACGCUACACACAUGGUCAGAGCUAGUAUUUAAACAUCUAAAGAACUGGGGUUUAAGCUGUUCCUUCAGCAAGCACUUUUGAUAUAAAGGUUUCUUUCAACAUUAAGACUGUUCACAACACCAUUAAAAUCACAUUAGGAAAAAUUCUUCAUCUGUAUAUUUUGCCAUUUUAUAGUUGUAAUAACCUUUUUACAAAAUGUUAAAUACUGACUUAAACUUUAGUGUCAUACUUCUGGUAUUUUUAUUUUUUAUUUCUGCUCUGCUGUAAGUUUGGUAGAUUGUGUUUGUUCUUCAGGUAUUAUUAGACCUUUCUUCCCAUUCCUUCUGACACUCAUGAGUGUGCCGCAGCUGGCGCUGUUAGUGAACUAAGUCAGUCAGCUGUGGGGUUUCCCCACCGUCAAGUAUUUUUGGAGUCUGCAGGGUGUCCCUUGAAGCUUAAUGCUCUGUAUUCUCACAUUAGAGCAACUGGCAGAAGGGAGUGGGCUCUAAGGAGCCUAGCAUAAAGGGCAAAAUCUGUGAAGAUGAAGAAUUGUAACUAGAAGAAUCUUUGUACAGAUAAAAUAACCAUGGUUUUGGUCAUUGUAAAAACCUCCCUGACUCUUCAAAUACUAAAAUCUCUGUAAGUUUCAGUAUCACUGGAAAUCUAGACCUGCAGCAACAUAUUUCUGUGGCUAAGAAUAAAAAAGCAUAUCACAGCGAAUAUCACUCUUCUCAAAACAGCUAAGCAUUAUUCUGAUCUGUAUUUACUGUUUACCAUGGCUGAAGAAAGUCUUAGCUUGCAGUGGCUGGCCACAGCAACUAUGCAAGCGGUGGCAUUCCCCACAAGCUCCCUUUGGUUUCACAGCAGCUUCUGCCUGGUGGUGCAUGGUUGGAUUUAGAGCGUCAACUCCAGCAGAGCAUGCAUUUAAAUUAAAAAUCGAGGAAGCCAGUCACGUCUUUGAAGUUCAGCACAUGCUCCCGUGCUAUGCUGGGCUGAAGUGUUAGCACAGAGAAAAGCUAAAAUGGUCCAAUACU
rnacentral:lncRNA from 1 species